rnacentral:lncRNA from 1 species
GAGGGAAAAUCUGCUGGUGCAGGGAGUGCCCCUGGGAAAUAUCCUGCCUCACUCUGCUCCCCUCUUCUAGACUUGAAUGCUGUUGGGUGAGACGAUGUUCGGAGCUGUGGCAGCCAUAUUGCAACCCUGAGGCAAGAAGCUAAGGAAGAAGGCCACCACAGCUGAAGAUGAUAAAUAGGAAAGAGGGAAAGACUCUGGCUCAUUAGCAUCACCGAGCGUCGGACCAACCCCGGAACUGCCUCCUUCCAGAAUCUUCUUAUGCACGAUCAUUACACGUCUCAGGUGACUGAGGCAUUGUUGUUGGAUUUUCUGUUACAAGGUGCCCAGUGCAUUCUAGUCAAGGGAAGCACCUGCUAUGUGCCCGGCACCACAUCUCUCACAAGAGUCAUGGUCAUUCGACUACACCCCAUCUCUGUCAUCAAACCCUGCGGUCCUAAAGGCAAAGGUUGUAUCUCGUAGGUCUCUGUAACCCCAGACCUUGUUACAGAUCAUGACCCACAGUGAGCCCCAACUCCACAAUGCGAAUAACAUGAACGAAUUCAUGAAUUCAAAUGCAGUUCUUGGCGAACUAUGAAGGGCUGGGCCCAAAUGCAGGAUUCAGAUCCGAAAGACAGACCCCACGAGGCCCGCUUUGUGCUCUGUCAUUUUGCCCCUAAAAACUGUCCCGAGGAACCAAGCGGUCGUCGGCACCCCAGCUGCGCUCCUUUGCUGCGUUAUCCCGUGAGAGCUGGAGGACGGGGCACCCGACGAGGAGGCGGUGGGCCGUUGAGGUUGACGGGGAAUAAGGACCAAACAUCCAGGGUGCAUCAUUUCAAGUGAAUUUUGCCAUCAGAGCGACAACGGAUCAAGGUAUUAAACAAAGUGCAUUCCACCAGGAGAGCUCUGUUAACCACCUGACGCAAAGGCGCUCCGUCCAGAGUUGAGCGUCCGGACUCACCCUUCCUUCUUUCCUACUUGGCUUCCUACGCUGUUGAGAGGUGAGGCCGGGGAAAGGCCCCAAGUCUCUCUGCCGCCAAGGUCUCCACGCCCCCUCGCGGAGAGGAAGGAGCCAGAAGGGGAUGUGAGGUGCCCACGGGGACGUGACCAAGAGUAAACAAGGGGAGGCUGGGGGAGGGAUGAUGGGGAAAGUCAAGGAAUAAAGGGCAUCCCCAGGCCUGAGGGCCCA